AAGUCCAUGGUGUGGACAAUUCCGAAGCAAAUCUUGAAACCUUUCCCAUGUUUCAUAUAAUGACUCACCAUCAAAUUGACUAAAACUAAUAAUAUCCAUUAUAAAUUU